rnacentral:ncRNA from 1 species
CUAAUAUAAAUAAAUUUUUAUAGUUUAAUAAAUUUAUUUUAAAUUUAUUUUACAUAUAAAUUUUAGUGUUAAUUUUUAAUUAUUUUAAUAAUAUUUAAAUUAAUUUAUAUAGUAAUUAAUAUUAAAAAUUUAAGAAAUUAAGAUUUAGUAAUAAUAAAAUUAAUAACAAAUUUUGUGCCAGCAGUUGCGGUUAUACAAAAGUUAAAUUAAAUUUUAUUAGUAAUUAAUUAAUAAAAUUUAUAUAUUAAAAAUUUUAAAUUAUUAAGUGAAAUUUUAAUUUAAUUAAAAUUUAUGAUAAAUUUAUGAUUUAAUAAAUUUUAUAAAAAACUAGGAUUAGAUACCCUAUUAUUAAAAUUUUAAAUUAAAAUACUAAAAUAGUAAAUAAAUAAUUUAUUGAAACUUAAAUAAUUUGGCGGUAUUUUAGUUCAUUUAGAGGAAUCUGUUUAAUAAUUGAUAGUCCACGAAUAAAUUUACUUAAUUUUUUUUUUGUAUAUCGUUGUUAUAAAAAUAUUUUUUAAUAAUAAUAAUAUUUAAAUUUUUUAAUUUAAAAUUAAAUCAGAUCAAGAUGCAGAUUAUAAUUAAGAAUAUAAUGGAUUACAAUAAAUUAAUUUAAAUGAAUAUUAAUUUGUAAAAAUUAAUUGAAGGUGGAUUUAAAUGUAAUUUUAUUUAAUUUAAUAAAAUGAUUUAAAAUUAAAAUAUGUACAUAUUGCCCGUCGCUUUCAUAUAAAAUUAAGUUGAAAUAAGUCGUAACAAAGUAGAGGUACUGGAAAGUGUUUCUAGAAAGA